rnacentral:lncRNA from 1 species
UCUCUAAAUUGGCCGUAUCUUGACUUGGAUUCUCAAAAGCACCUGCUUUAGAUUUGAGUAUGUUUACUUUGUUUUGCCUCGUUAGCCUAGAUUUCAUAGUUUUAUUGGUUCAGUGCUUGAAGUUGUUUUGAUAGUAGAUUAAUGGAAAAGUUUUGUCCUUUCUUGAAUCUAUAUGAGAAACAAUACUUCUGUAUCUAGUGAAGCGUUGGAGUUUGAUGGUGGUCACAUUUAGAAAUCACUCUGCGAUAUUGGUUAUAUAUGGUGAUGUUGGCGCAAUGUAGAGCUUAAAGUUCGCUCCUUUAUAAUGAUAUGACUGCUUCUUAAUGUAAUACAGUUUUCUUAUUAGUGUUUAUCUUUCGCUUCUUAAUCUCAGAUUAGGCAAUAAUUUCUCUACAAUCUCUAGGAGAAGAGCAUAUAAAGGUGUGGAGAACAUUGACAUAUGAUUGGUUUACAGUAAUCCUGCAGAGUCUGAAUCUCUUCCACAUCCACUGCUGUCACACAGUUACUUGCAACCUCCAGCUGCGCUUUCACCUUGUACCAAGUCCAUGCGCCGUGGCACACGCCAUGGACGAGCACAAACUGUUUCUGGUUCUUCUUCUCAAUUGCCUUUCUUACUCUCAACAUCUUGGUUCAACACUUGCAUACAUACGGUAAGUUUCCCAAAUACUCUUUGUAUAUUGGCUGUUAGUUUUUGGUCGUUCUCUGAGAUCUAGAGAAUGCUAAAACAACACUACAUUGAUUGUUAGAUUUCUCAUUUCAGCUAUAGUAUGAAAUAAAGUCUGAACGUUUAGAAAGAUCCAUUUUAGAACAUGUUCAAUUGUAUUAAAUCCAGAUACAUUUUUUGUUGGUGGACCUGAAGACUCCAUCUGAGGUCAUUUGUUGGCGUGUUAGAGUUCGUGGUGAUUGUUUCAGUGACCUUCACAGGUUAGAAGUGGUCAUAGUAUAGGCAGGAAUAAGUUAUUGAAACGAGAGAUUAUAAAAGAUUAGUUGAUCAGCUUAGUUAGUUUGGGUGAAAAACUGCUUAGAUUUCUCAAUAUAAGAACUCUUAUUAAUCCAGUGAGGAUCCUAGAUUUAUUUAGGCAAUAUUUACCUGCUAUCUUUAAACGAGAUGAUGACUAGAAUUCUUGAGGCUUUGAUACAUUGGAUCUGUAUCUUUGAUCCCCCAUUACUUCUUCAACCUCCUUAAUAUUCUUGUUCAUAAUCCUUCUAUGUUUAAAAUCCCUGGGCACACAUUAUCAUAUUUGCAUACGCGACCAGUCUCCACAGUCCACCCUUUCUCCUUGAAGCUUCAAGUUGUAACUUCACACACCCUAGCAGAAUCCUCGGCAAGCACAUACCACUCAUGGUUAUUUGCCUUCUCUUUUUAGCCUCUUUGUUCAUCUAUUCUUUUAACUAGUUUCUCUGGUAAUAGAAGAUAUAGAGAAUGGUUCACUAAUAUUUUACUGACCAUUUGUUUUUACUUAGUAUUGACUAUAAGAUCUAGCUAUGAUUAUAUGAACCCAUGAAACCUUCUUAAACAAAAUCAUAUUCGCACUGCUAAACAUUCUUCUAGUAUGCAUUUUCAGCUUGUCUACAUAUAGCAGAUCACGACUAACUUUUUUUUAAUUUUUUCAUAGAAGCUGAAGUUCAUAGUAAUAUACUUAUAAAUGCAGGUUUAUAGGCAUAUGAUCUACAUUAAUACGAUGCUGGAAAUUUUCAGGUAGUGUGUUAUCCUCUUCUUACAUUCUUAUUUAUAUAACCAUUCUUACAAAUAAUAUUAUUUGGUUAUGUCUUAUACAUAUAGAGUGUACUCACCCAUAUCACUCUCAUCUCGCUUAGUGUAGUCGUGAAGUUGAAUUUUGUAACUGUGAUGCAGUGAAGAUCUCAGAUUCAUUUAGGCAUAUUUAUCUGCAAUCUCCAAAAGACGAGUACAGAGUUCUUGAGGCUUGGAGAACAUUGCCAUAUGAUCUGCAUCUUUGAUCUUCAUUACUUCUUUUACUGGAAAGUUCUUGAUCAUCCAGCGCUGGUAAUCCUCGGUUAUCGCGCGGUCCUCUCCACAGAUGAUAUAUAUACGUGUAACGGAUCCAUACCCUUCCUCACUGAAGCUUCUUGUCCCUGCCAGAUUGUUUGUAACGAUCGGGUUUACCCUCACCAACAUUUUUGCCAAUUCAAGAUCCUAAUCCGCCACAACAAUCAUCAAUUAAAAAGUUGACUGAGGUUACAAGCAAAUCUCAUUUGGGUUUUAAGUAGGAGUCUUACUUGGACCGGAGAGAGUUGAUACAAAUCCCUGGCCAUGGAUUUUGGUCCGAAAAGAACAAACUCUAGAGGGCGAUCAG